AGUGAACGCUGGCGGUAGGCCUAACACAUGCAAGUCGAACGAUUGGCGGCCGGGUGAGGAAUACAUCAGAAUCUACUCUGUCGUGGGGGAUAACGUAGGUAAACUUACGCUAAUACCGCCUACGCUUGAAUGAGCCGAUGUCGGAUUAGCUAGUUGUCGGGGUAAAGGCCCACCAAGGCGACGAUCCGUAGCUGGUCUGAGAGGAUGAUCAGCCACACUGGAACGGAGACACGGUCCAGACUCCUACGGGAGGCAGCAGUGGGGAAUAUUGGACAAUGGGCGCAAGCCUGAUCGAGCCAUACCGCGGGGGUGAAGAAGGCCUUCGGGUUGUAAAGCGCUUUUGUUGGGAAAGCGGUACCCAAAGAAUAAGCAGCGGCUAACUGCGUGCCAGCCGCCGCGGUAAUUC
rnacentral:rRNA from 1 species